CCGGAGACGUCGGCGGGGGC
rnacentral:snRNA from 1 species